UACGGAGGGGACUAGCGUUGUUCGGAAUUACUGGGCGUAAAGCGCACGUAGGCGGACUGGAAAGUUGGGGGUGAAAUCCCAGGGCUCAACCCUGGAACUGCCUUCAAAACUCCCAGUCUGGAGGUCGAGAGAGGUGAGUGGAAUUCCGAGUGUAGAGGUGAAAUUCGUAGAUAUUAGGAAGAACACCAGUGGCGAAGGCGGCUCACUGGAUCGGUACUGACGCUGAGGUGCGAAAGCGUGGGGAGCAAACAGG
rnacentral:rRNA from 1 species